UUUUCUUUCUUUUCCAAAGUAGUCGUUUCCAUCCACCUUCCCCAUGCACCUUGUUUUUGGUUUCACUUUGGCACAAAAGAAGACAGACAGGUUUAGUGCUGGCAGCGGACGAUCGUUGUAUUUGCACGCCACUGUUGGCUUGGUCGUCUUCGGUGGCCGCACAACAAAUCAGACACGCUAUUGUGAUGCCCCAGCAUGUGGAGAGCCACCGUCGUGACAUUCAAUCGUUUAUCGGACGGUAUCAAAUGAGAAAAACUGGCUAAGCUGACCGCAAAUCCGCGCCUCAAUGUUCCCAUGCAGGUAUCACUGACUAGGCCACACCCCUCAAAGGCACGCUCCAACGCCGCAGGACAUAGGAAUGAUCCUUUGCUCAAAUCCACUUAUUUCAUGACUUUUCUCGUUUUUUU